CAGUCGCCACGGGAAUACAGAGGGUGCGAGCGUUAAUCGGAUUUACUGGGCGUAAAGCGUGCGUAGGCGGCUUUUUAAGUCGGAUGUGAAAUCCCUGAGCUUAACUUAGGAAUUGCAUUCGAUACUGGUUAGCUAGAGUGUGGGAGAGGAUGGUAGAAUUCCAGGUGUAGCGGUGAAAUGCGUAGAGAUCUGGAGGAAUACCGAUGGCGAAGGCAGCCAUCUGGCCUAACACUGACGCUGAGGUACGAAAGCAUGGGGAGCAAACAGGAUUAGAUACCCCGGUAGUCCCUGUCUCUUAUAA
rnacentral:rRNA from 1 species